GAUGAAGAACGCAGCGAAAUGCGAUACGUAGUGUGAAUUGCAGAAUUCAGUGAAUCAUCGAAUCUUUGAACGCACAUUGCACCUCUCGGUAUUCCGGGAGGUAUGCCUUUUCGAGCGUCAUUUGUACCCUCAAGCUCUGCUUGGUGUUGGGUGUUUGUUCCGCCUCUGUGUGUGAACUCGCCUCAAAACAAUUGGCAGCCGGCGUACUUGUUUCGGAGCGCAGCACAUUUUGCGAUCCAGAUCAACGUACAGCGGCAUCCAAGAAGCCUUAUUUAACGCUCUUGACCUCGGAUCAGGUAGGGAUACCCGCUGAACUUAAGCAUAUCAAUAAGCGGAGGA
rnacentral:misc_RNA from 1 species